CCUACGGGUGGCAGCAGUGGGGAAUAUUGGGCAAUGGGCGCAAGCCUGACCCAGCCACGCCGCGUGAAGGAAGAAGGCCCUCGGUUUGUAAACUUCUUUUGUCAGGGACGAAACAAAUGACGGUACCUGACCAAUAAGCCUCUGCUAACUACGUGCCAGCAGGCGCGGUAAUACGUAGGUGGCAAGCGAGAUCCGGAUUUACUGGGUGUAAAGGGCGUGUAGGCGGGAGAGCAAGUCAGAUGUGAAAUUCCAGGGCUCAACCCUGGAACUGCAUUUGAAACUGUGUUUCGUGAGUGAUGCAGAGGCAGGCGGAAUUCCGUGUGUAGCGGUGAAAUGCGUAGAUAUACGGAGGAACACCAGUGGCGAAGGCGGCCUGCUGGACAUUAACUGACGCUGAGGCGCGAAAGCGUGGGGAGCAAACAGGAUUAGAUACCCCUGUAGUC
rnacentral:rRNA from 1 species